rnacentral:rRNA from 1 species
CACCUGUUCCCAUGCCGAACACAGCAGUUAAGCUCUCUAGCGCCGAUGGUAGUUGGGGUUCUUCCCCUGCGAGAGUAGGACGCCGCCGGGC